rnacentral:rRNA from 1 species
CAUCGAGCGAGGCGCAUCACCGGCCCGUUUCGGACAGUUUUCAGUCGGGGCGGAGCAUGAGCGUACAUGUUGAGACCCGAAAGAUGGUGAACUAUGCUUGCGCAGGUUGAAGCCAGAGGAAACUCUGGUGGAGGACCGCAGCGAUUCUGACGUGCAAAUCGAUCGUCAAACGUGAGUAUAGGGGCGAAAGACUAAUCGAACCAUCUAGUAGCUGGUUCCCUCCGAAGUUUCCCUCAGGAUAGCUGGCGUUCAUGACAGUUUUAUCCGGUAAAGCGAAUGAUUAGAGGCCUUGGGGGCGAAACGUCCUCAACCUAUUCUCAAACUUUAAAUGGGUGAGAAGCCCAACUCGCCUAAACGGAGUUGGGCGUUUGCGAAUGUGAGUGCCAAGUGGGCCAUUUUUGGUAAGCAGAACUGGCGCUGUGGGA